AACGAACGCUGGCGGCAUGCCUAACACAUGCAAGUCGAACGAUGCCUUCGGGCAUAGUGGCGCACGGGUGCGUAACGCGUGGGAAUCUGCCUUUCGGUUCGGAAUAACUCAGGGAAACUUGAGCUAAUACCGGAUAACGUCGCAAGACCAAAGAUUUAUCACCGAAAGAUGAGCCCGCGUAGGAUUAGCUAGUUGGUGAGGUAAAGGCUCACCAAGGCGACGAUCCUUAGCUGGUCUGAGAGGAUGAUCAGCCACACUGGGACUGAGACACGGCCCAGACUCCUACGGGAGGCAGCAGUGGGGAAUAUUGGACAAUGGGCGAAAGCCUGAUCCAGCAAUGCCGCGUGAGUGAUGAAGGCCUUAGGAUUGUAAAGCUCUUUUACCCGGGAAGAUAAUGACGGUACCGGGAGAAUAAGCCCCGGCUAACUCCGUG
rnacentral:rRNA from 1 species